rnacentral:lncRNA from 1 species
UUAGACAAAGACAAAACCUAAUAGUUUAAUGUUCAGGAUAAACCUCUCAGACACAACCCUUGUCCUAAGAUGUAUAUUGCUUAGUAUGUAUAUGCAUAAUGGGAUUUUGUUUUCAUGUGACAGGAAUAUGAACUACAGACCAAAGAAGUGGAACUGCUCAAACAAGAAGUGAACAUUUUAAUGCAGUCUGCAGAAAAGUUAACUGACAAAAUUGAGUUUAUCAACUUAUUAUAUCGUCUUGGUGUGUCUUAUCAUUUUGAAAAUGAAAUUGAAGAACAGUUAAAUCAUAUCUUCAAUAUGCUUCCUGAUCUUCUUGCUGAAAAUGAUUAUGACCUCCACACUCUGGCUCUUCUAUUUCAAGUUCUCAGACAAUAUGGAUACAAGAUGCCUUGUGGUAAGUAUAAUAAUUUCUUGUUUACUAUAAUGUCUUUGAAAUUUAAACAAGAAUAACGAGUAUAAUGGAUGAUCAAUUAUUAUAUAUGAAUCAUCAGAUGUGUUUGAAAAAUUCAAGGACAGCGAUGGAGCUUUCAAGAAAACAAUCUGCAGUGAUGUGAAAGGACUCCUUAGUUUAUAUGAAGCCACCUUUCUGAGCGUGCAUGGGGAAGAUAUUUUAGACGAAGCCCUUGUUUUUACAAGGCAAAAUUUGGAAACCUUAGUUGCUCAAUCAAGCCCUCCUCUAGCAGAACGCAUAAGGAAUGCUCUUGUGCGACCAUUCCACCAAGGCAUAGAGAGACUAGAGGCUCGACAAUACAUUUCUUUCUACGAAGGAGAUGAGUCUCGCAAUGAAACUCUCCUCAAAUUUGCAAAGUUGGAUUUCAAUCGAUUGCAACUCUUGUAUAAACAAGAGCUAGCCAUCCUCUCCAGGUAAGUGAUAAUCAAACUGUCGAAAAAUGAUAAUAAAAAAUAGUUAAUUGAACGUAAUCUUACAUUUCAGCUGGUGGAAAGACUUGAAUCUUGUAGAGAAGCUUCCUUAUAUAAGAGACAGAAUCGUAGAAGUUUAUCUGUGGGCAAUUGGAGCCCAUUUUGAGCCUGAAUAUGCUCUUGCUCGACUGAUGAUCACCAAGUAUACAAAGAUGGUAUCUGUAGUAGAUGAUACGUAUGAUGCUUAUGGAACAAUUGAUGAACUCCAACGUUUUACAGAUUCAUUUCAGAGGUUUGAUAAAGAAAAUAAUGAUAGCUAUAACUAAUUAAUUAAUUUGUAUAUAUAUAUAUAUAUAUAAUUUGGCUGACCAAAUUUUAUUUUCCUUGAAAAAAAAAAUCUAGAUGCAAUGCUGAUGCUAUUGAUGAGGUGCCAGAAUAUAUGAAAGUUAUUUACAAGAGUCUCUUGAAGCUCUUUGAUGAAACUGAAAGUACUGACGAUGAAGAAAUGUCCUAUAGAACCUCUUAUGCAAAAGAGAGGGUAAGAGUUGUCCAACAAUCUUUUCAUCAAUUAUAAAAUCAAUAUCUUAAAAUUAUAUUAAGAUAAUAUUUUACUAAUAAUUUAAAUAAAUUACAGCAUGGAAGAGAUUUAGAAUAAACUAAUUUGAUGAAUUAUUAUUAUAUAAUUGAUGCAUUACUUUUUUAUGUUAUUAUUAGUUCAAAGAACUUACAAGAGGAUACCUUCUUGAGGCAAAGUGGUUUAAUAAUGGGUAUGUGCCAUCAAUGAGAGACUACAUAGAAAAUGGAUUAAUCACAAGCACUUACAGUGUACUUCCAUCAGCUUCCUUCAUCGGAAUGGAAAAGGUUGUCGGAACCAAGGAGUAUCACUGGUUGGAAACUAAUCCUAAAAUCGUUGUAGCUUCCAAGUUAAUUUGUCGUUUGAUGGACGACGUUACCACUCGAGAGGUAUGAUUUACUUUUUAUAAUUUAAUUUUAUUUGAAAUAGAAUUAAUUUGUUAAUAUUUGAAGGAUGAGCAAAGGAGAGGACAUUGUGCUUCAAGCGUGGAGUGCUACAUGAAAGAACAUGGAGUAUCAGAAAAGGAAGCAAUAGGAGAAAUUCAGAAAAUGUGUGAAAAUGCAUGGAAGGACAUGAACGAAGCAUGCAUGAAGCCAACUGCUGUCCCAAGGGCUCUUCUCAAGUAUUAUGUAAACCUUGCAAGAGUGAUUGAUUUUGUUUACAAGUACAUGGAUUCCUACACAUAUGCUUCCAGUCUCAAACAGGACAUUUCCUCAUUGUUUCUUGGGCAACUGCCCAUGUAAACAUCCACUGCUGCUUUUCAUCUGGGUCCCUAAUGCCUAAUGGGAUUUAAUUAAAUAGGCUAGAUUUUGUGGAAUUUGUUGUUUGGUGUUUCAAGUUUGGAGUCAUGGUCUUUUUGCUUUGUUUGAAGUUGCUGGUCAGAGUUUCUGAGUUGCUAUGCAUUUGAAUCUUGUAUCAGGUUUUCUUACCUAAUAUGAUUGGAAUAGAUUGAACUUGUUUUAUGAAGUUUUUCUGAUUCUUUAUUACUAACAAAUGAAAAAGUUUUAGAAGAAUUCAGUCUAUUAUGAACUUAAGAGAUCCCAUCUAAUUUAUUUUAUGAAGAGAUGAAGCCAUUUAUAUGCGGGAAUCUUCUUGCAUAUUAUUUAUAAAAAAAUAUUAAAAAUAAUUUUUUUUUACAAAAGUAUAUAAAAAAUAAUUAAUAAUUAAAAUUAUUAUUAAAAAUAGAUAAAUUUAUUAUUUUAAAAUUAUUUUUAUUUUUUUAAAUGGAUAAAUAUGAAAAAAAUAUUUAAAUAAAUAAUUAUUUAAGAAAAAUUAUAUAAAAUUAUUAUAAUGAAAUCAUAUAUUUUUAAAAUUUUAUAAUGAAAUAAUAAGUGUGACACACUAGGAGCUUGUCUACAUAUCUUUGCACCAUGUACAUCUCUCAAUUCUGCUUUUUGGAAUAAAGCAGUUAGGCUCUCAGCACAAAUAAUAAUAAAGAGAUAUGAUAAAAGUAAAUCACCUUGUCGCAGCCUUCUAUCGGGGAGGAUAGGACCAAACUCAGAUCCAUUGAAAGAGAUGGUGUACAAAAUUGAAGUAACACACAUCAGAAUGAGGUUAAAAAACUUUUCAGCAAAACCUAUAUCUAAUAGUAUAAGUCGCAAAUAUUUUCAAUCAACACAAUCAUAGGGUUUACUGAUAUCAAUAUUAAAGGCAACCUCUCCCUUCUUACCUCGAGUCUUUCAUUUCAUGUGGUGAAUAAUCUCAAAAGCAAUCAUAAUAUUAUUAGUGAUGAAUCUUCUUGGAAUAAAAGAAGACUGUGUAGAACUCGGUUAUUACAUGUUUAUACAUUGUAUAAAUAUAUCAGUGUAUUGGUUCUAUUUUAGUGUAAAUCUUUAUUAGACUUAGAACUGAUAUUUCUGUUAGAUGAGUUCAUCGUAAUGCUAGUCUAUUUGCUCAUACUUUGACUAUAGAAUAUAUCAGACAUAAUCAUCUUUCUGUUUGAAAUAAUAUUCCUUUUUAUUUGAUAAAAUUUUAUUAAUAUAAUCAGUAGUUUUACUUUUUUUAAAACAUAGUGUAUUGAUUUAGACUAAUUAUAUAAUACGUAGAUAUUAAUUCCAGAAGGAAUUAUUUUAUUAAGUGUUUAAUUAAUUAAAUUAAUGAAUUUAAUUUACACCAUCUUGACUUAAAAUUAAAUUUAAAAAAUGAGCUAUUUAAUUUUUUUUUUUUUAAAAAAAAAUUAUAUGGAUUAAAGAAGGAUUUGGCACCACAAAAUGGGCCUCACUAGACGUUAUUGGAAAAAGAAAAGCAUUUGGGCUUUAAUUUGGUUCAAAGCCCAUUGUAUAUUUCCUUCAAAGAAGAAUUUAGCCUCCUUGUUAAGUGUUCUUAAUGACUUUAAUUCAACACUUGGCAAUAUGAUAUGCAACCAUUUGGUGGCUUAAUGAAUCAGAGUGAAGCUUGAUGGACAAGUCUCCACACCAAGUCUAUGUUUGGAUACGUAAGAAAAUUGGAGGGAAAGGAAAAUAACUAUAAAAAAUAAUUAGUAUUUUCCCUUUCCUUUAUUUAGAAAGAGAGGAAAAAUAAAAGUUUCUUCGGUUAUUUUUUAUCCGAUUUGAAGAAAAAAACAUGUAUUUUUAUUUUAAAUUUACAUAUGUAUCACUAUAUGAACAAUAAAAAAAAUAAAAAAUAAAAAUAUAAUAGUAAAUUUAUAAAUAUACUUUACGUUAAAUUUUAUAGACUAAAAAGUAAUUUUGCCUAUAAUCAAUUAGUUCAAACUGAAAGUUUUUCUAUCCAUAAUUCUAUUAGUCAAUUAGAUCAAAGAGAUAAUAAACCUUUCAAAUAACCAAAAUACACUCCGUAAAUAUUUAAAUUUUUUCUAAUAUAGAUAAAUAACUUUAUAUUAUAUAAAUUAUACUUUCGUCUCUAAAUUUUAGCAUAAUUAACAGAUCAAUUCUUAUAAUUUUAAAAUUAAAUUCUUAAAUCUCUCUAUAUUGAUUCGUCUAAAAUUAUAGUUUUUCAUUUAUUAUAGAAAUUAGUUCAAAACUAAUGAGUGAUCCAACUUUUUCUGAAGGUAUAAUUUUUUUUUAAAAUAUUUUUUUUAAUAAAAGUUUACAAUAUUAUUUGAUACCAUUUAAAAAUAGUUAAAAUUAAAAAUAUUUUCUAAAAGUUUUGAAAUUAUAAAUACUGAUAUAUUUUAAUGAAUAGAAAUUGAAGAAUAAAAAAUGUUAAAAAUUAGUUAAAUGAGAUAUUAUAGAUAAAGGUUAACGGAGACUUAAGUGUUCUUUCAAAUAAAAAAUGAAAGAUCAGAAUGUUUGAAUUAUUUUAGAUGAAGAUAAAUUGAUUAUGAAGGGUUUAAGUGUACGAUUUUAAAAAUAUAGAGAUUAAUCCAUUAAUUAUGCUAAAAUUCAAGAAUUCAAAUGUAAUUAAUUUAUUUAAGAGAGAUAGUAAAGAAAUUUUUACACUUUUAAUAAUAAAAAUGGAUAAACAGAUUAAUGAUAUAGAGAUUUAAAUAUUCGAUUUUAAAAAUACAGAAAUUAAUCUAUUAAUUAUGUUAAAAUUUAAAGAUUAAAAUAUAAUUUACCUUUAAUAAAAUAAUCCCUUAAUUUAAACUUUUAUAUUCUUAAUUGAAAUUAAUUUAUAUACUUUUAUUAAAUGAUCCCUAAAUAUUGUAGUUAAACUACAAUAAACUUUUAUAUUUAAAGUUUUAUACUUACAAAUUAAUUUUUAUCUAUUAAAUUGUAAUAUUUUAUAUGUGAAAAUAAUAACAUAAAUAAUAAAUAAUAAAUUUAUAUUUAUAUUUUUUAAAUAAAUAAAUCAUUGAUAAGGAAAAAUUAAAUAUUGAUAAAGAAAAAUUAAACGGAAAAGAAUUUUUUGGGCUCAAAAUUUAAAUGCAUAUUAUAUAAAAAUUUAUUAUUUAAUUUUUAUUUUAUUAAUUUAUUAUCAAAUAUAUAAAUAUUAAAUUCAAUAAAUAUAGAAAAUUAGUUUGUAAAAAAUAUAAAUAUUUAUUUAUAAAAUUAUAAUAUUUAAAAACCAAUUUGUAAAAAUAUAAAAUAACAUUAUAAUUAAAUGAGUUAUUUUAUUAUAAAAUAAGACUUUAUAAUUAAAUUUAAAAAUAUAUAAUUAAAUUAUAUUGAGUUUAUAAAAUUUUAUGAAUUAAAAUAUAAUUUAUGUUAAGUUGAACUUUCUUUAGCGAAGGAGGUUGUUUAUUUUCUUGGGAGAUUGAUUUGAAUUUCCCAACUGUUGCUAUUUUUAAUUAUUUAUUUAUUUUUAAACAUAUUGACUUUCCUAAAAUAAAAAAUAAAAGCUGUACUUGUCAAAUAUGAGAUUUUUAUGGAAAGAAUUCAAAUUUCGUAAUUAUUGAAAAAAAAAAUGAAAAUGAGAAAGAGACUGCCAUCACCAACCGGCAGUCCCUGCGCUGCAGCUUUAAAAAUGAAAUAAAAAUAAAAUGCAAUUUGUAGUUAAAAAAUUAAUAUGAGAUUUUCUAAUAACUGAUUGUUUCUUUCUGAUUACGAGUUGUUGUUCGUCAUCUUUUAACAACUCCUUAAUCAAAAAAAUUUGAUUACUUUUUUGUCAAUGGUCAAUUUAUUAUUUGUUUUGUGUAUCACUAAAUAUAAAUUCUUCAAAAUAAAUUUUAAAUAUCAAUUUAUUUUUGUUGAAAUAAUGCACAAAUAUGCUAGAAAUAUAAAAAUUUAUCGUCAAAAUAUUAAAAAAAUAUAAAAAAAUAAUGAUAUAAUCUUUUCGAAACUUUUAAAAAUUCUAAUCCCAAUAUAUUUUUUUAAAAUCUCACAUAAUAUAAGACAGAAAAAUAAAUAUAAAUAUUUAUAACUUUUCAUACGACUCUAUACAUAUAUAUUUCUAUUUUUUAUUUAAUUCGAAUCGUAGUAAAAAAUAUUUUAAAUUAGAUUACAAUUCGAGCCGAAAUAAAAAUAUACUCAAAUUUCAAGCUACAUAACCAUUGAAUUAAUAAUUUUAUAUGAUAUUAGAGUUUUAUCAUUCAAUAUUAAAUCUUUUAUUAGUGUUUUGCGCUUUAACGGUUUGAUUUUAAAUGUAAACAUUUAUAUUAAAUUUUUACAAUUUCAAAAUAAUAUUCUGCUUAUAAAAUUUUAUUUUAUUUUUAUUUAAGAUAACUUUUAAUCAUAUUCUAUUCCUUAAGACUUUAUCUCUCUAUGAGUAGCUAAACAAAUAAAUUUUAUACAUUUAAUAUAUUAGAUUAGUCGAUUUUUUUUUUCAAAAUCAAAUUAAAGCCGUUAAGUGGAUUAUUUAAAUUUUAAUAUUAAAUCAAACUAGAUUAUGUAGUAAAUUAGAUUAAAAUUUUAAAAUUAAAUUUAAUAAAUUAUUUUAGUUUAAAUCAAAUUUUGUUGACACCUUUUUUAAUAUAAUUAAGGAGAGCACUUUCUUGUGGUAGAUAUAUUCGGUAAAUUAUUAUUAAGUUAUUGUAUUUUAUUAAAACCAAUUAUUUAGUUUUUUCUAAAUCUAAUUAAAAUAUAAAUAUAUUUUAUUAAAUUAAAUUAUUUAAUUAAUCAAUUUAUUUUAAUAUAAUAAUCAAAAGAGAUCAAAUAAAAUGAAUAGUUAACCUGAACAAAGUAAGUUAAAAUUAAAUUACUAAAUGAAAUAAAAUUCAAGAAUAAAGAUAAGUUUAGUUAACGUUAUUUAAAAAUAAAAAAGUUUGAUUUUUUAAAACAUGGUUGUUUUAAUGGUAUUUUAAAAUAAAGAUAAGCAGUUAAUGUUUAUCAAAAUAUAUAGAAAUUAUAUUAUUGAUCGGUUUCGGUUCGAUUUGAUUCGAUUUAGUUUCAAUUUUUAAUAAUUUUUUUAUUUUUUACACUUUAUUUUUAAUAUUUUAAAAUUUAAUUAAAAUAUUUUAAUUGUAAUAUAAUUUAAUUUCUCUAUAUUAUUAAAAAUAACAUAUUAUUAUCACUAAUCGGUUCGGUUUGGUUUUUUCGAUUUUUUUAUGAUUAAAACCGAACCGAACCGAAAUAAAUAAAAUUUCUGAAAUUAAAAAUCGAAUCGAACCGAAUUUAAUAAAAAAUCAAACUGAAUUUUGAAAUUAAUUCAGUUCGAUCGAUUUUUUCGAUACUCACCUCUAACCCAACCAAAUUCCAAUAAAUUAUAAAAUGUCCAUUUCACAAUUAAAAGAUUAUCAAAUUUCACAACCUUACUAGAAUUGGACAGCUUCAACUAUAAAUAGAAGUGCUUUGAUCAUACUCGUAAAGUAUAACUUGCUUAAUUCUUUAAAGAUGGCUACACUAGCUAGAAAGGAAGGAGACGUUUUCCGUCCACUAGCAAACUUUCCUCCUAGUGUUUGGGGUUAUAGUUUUGCCAAAUUUUCAUUUUUAGAUCCUGUGAGUAUCUUCACCACCUCUUUUUCUCUUUCAACUAUAUAUUUAUUUCCAUUGCAAUUUCUUAUAAACUAUUUCAUCAAAAUAUGGGGAUUGAAAAUAUGAGAACUCCUAUUUAAAUUUACAGGGCAAUAUAAUAUGUAUUUAACCGCUAAAUCUGAAUUAGACCAGACGAUAUAUAUAUUUUAAAAGGAAUUAACGAUAUAGAAAUUUGAACCUGAAUCUACGAGAUAAAUUAUAUGCUUUUUAUCAUUAGAUCAAACUAAUCGAGUAAUAUAUAUUUUUACUGUUGGACCAAAUCAAACUAAAUUUAAAGAUUGGAAUAUGAGGAGUUAAACCUAGGAGAUAAGUAAUAUGAUUUUAGUUACUAAACUAAAUUAGGUUAAAUUUUAUUAAGAUAUUCUUGUUAUAUAUCACUAUUAAAUGUUAAGCUUUAGAGAAUUAAAAUAACGAUUAUAAAAUUAUUAUCUUAAUACUACUAACACAAUCAUUUUAAAUUAUUAUAAAAAAAUAUAUUUUUUAUUAAAUAUAAUAAUAUAUUUCAAUUAAAAAUAUUUAUUUUUAAUAAAAUUAUAAAUUUAGCCAUAUUUUUUAUUUGUUAUAAAAUAAUAAAUCAUUAUUUUAUGUUUAUCGGCCAAUACUAAUACAACAGAUUUUAAAAUAUUAUUAUUAAAAUAUGAUUAUAAUUAAAAUAAUAAUUUAUUAUUGUUAUCUUAAAUCUAUUUUUAUAAUAGUGUAUUGAUGGCAAGGUGAAAUUGGAUGUAUUAUGUAUUGGUAUGGCUCAUUGCGUCAGGGCUUAGUAAGUAUUUUUCAUAUGAUAUAUUAGAAACUAUAGCAGAAAAUUCCCAUUUAUUGAUUCAAGGCCUAGAAAAUUUUGGGCAGUAAAAUGGACAUUCUCCGCUAUCCAAAUUUCUAGGUCCGACACACAGGAGAAUUCAUUUUCAAUACUCCGAGAAGGUAUUGUUAGAAAAGGCAGCCACAAAUUCAAAGAAAUAUUCUUUUCUGCACAGUAAAAUAGAUUUUGAAAGGUACCAUGAUGGAAGAUAAGAAUAAUUUUAUUAAAAUUAGACCAAGACAAAACCUAAUAGUUUAAUGUUCCUCUCAGACACAACCCUUGUCCUAAGAUGUAUAUGCAUAAUGGGAUUUUGUUUUCAUGUGACAGGAAUAUGAACUACAGACCAAAGAAGUGGAACUGCUCAAACAAGAAGUGAAUAUUUUAAUGCAGUAUGCAAAAAAGUUAACCGAUAAAAUUGAGUUUAUCAACUUAUUAUAUCGUCUUGGUGUGUCGUAUCAUUUUGAAAAUGAAAUUGAAGAACAGUUAAAUCAUAUCUUCAGUAUGCUUCCUGAUCUUCUUGUUGAAAAUGAUUAUGACCUCCACACUCUGGCUCUUCUAUUUCAAGUUCUCAGACAAUAUGGAUACAAGAUGCCUUGUGGUAAGUAUAAUAAUUUCUUGUUUAC